rnacentral:rRNA from 1 species
AUUGAACGCUGGCGGCAGGCCUAACACAUGCAAGUCGAACGAGCGGCGGACGGGUUAGUAAUGUCUGGGAAACUGCCUGAUGGAGGGGGAUAACUACUGGAAACGGUAGCUAAUACCGCAUACCCUCGGAUGUGCCCAGACGGGAUUAGCUAGUAGGAGGGGUAAUGGCUCACCUAGGCGACGAUCCCUAGCUGGUCUGAGAGGAUGACCAGUCACACUGGAACUGAGACACGGUCCAGAGGCCUACGGGGGGCAGGAGUGGGGAAUAGUGCACAAUGGGCGCAAGCCUGAUGCAGCCAUGCCGCGUGUAUGAAGAAGGCCUUCGGGUUGUAAAGUACGUUCAGCGGGGAGGCGUUACCCGCAGAAGAAGCACCGGCUAACUCCGUGCCAGCAGCCGCGGUAAUAC